rfam:Sphingomonas sp. Leaf34 contig_2, whole genome shotgun sequence.
GGAGCGGGCCGGGCCCCUCUGGCGGUCGUCUCAGGACGAACGUGAUGUCGGACCGCAUCG